rnacentral:rRNA from 1 species
AUUGAACGCUGGCGGCAGGCCUAACACAUGCAAGUCGAACGAGUGGCGGACGGGUGAGUAAUGUCUGGGAAACUGCCUGAUGGAGGGGGAUAACUACUGGAAACGGUAGCUAAUACCGCAUACCAUCAGCUGUGCCCAGAUGGGAUUAGCUAGUUGGUGGGGUAAGGGCUCACCAAGGCGACGAUCCCUAGCUGGUCUGAGAGGAUGACCAGCCACACUGGAACUGAGACAGGGUCAAGACGCCGACGGGAGGAAGCAGGGGGGAAUAUGGCACAAUGGGCGCAAGCCUGAAGCAGCCAUGCCGCGUGAAUGAAGAAGGCCUUCGGGUUGUAAAGUACAUUCAGCGGGGAGGAGUUACGCAAAGAAGAAGCACCGGCUAACUCCGUGCCAGCAGCCGCGGUAAUA